rnacentral:rRNA from 1 species
CCUACGGGAGGCUGCAGUGGGGAAUAUUGGACAAUGGGGGGAACCCUGAUCCAGCCAUGCCGCGUGUGUGAAGAAGGCCCUCGGGUUGUAAAGCACUGUCAGUGAGGAAGAACGCCUGGUGGUUAAUACCCAUCAGGAAAGACAUCACUCACAGAAGAAGCACCGGCUAACUCCGUGGCAGCAGCCGCGGUAAUACGGAGGGUGCGAGCGUUAAUCGGAAUUACUGGGCGUAAAGCGCGCGUAGGUGGCUUGAUAAGCCGGUUGUGAAAGCCCCGGGCUCAACCUGGGAACGGCAUCCGGAACUGUCAAGCUAGAGUGCAGGAGAGGAAGGUAGAAUUCCCGGUGUAGCGGUGAAAUGCGUAGAGAUCGGGAGGAAUACCAGUGGCGAAGGCGGCCUUCUGGACUGACACUGACACUGAGGUGCGAAAGCGUGGGUAGCAAACAGGAUUAGAUACCCUGGUAGUC